AUCCAGCUGAUGAGUCUCAAAUAGGACGAAACUAACUUUCUGGAU
rnacentral:hammerhead_ribozyme from 1 species